GUGUCUCCCACUGCCGGCGGGGAAGUUGACGUCGGUCACGCACGUGCCGUCAUUUUGACAACCACACGGCACCACAUCGAUCUGGAUGAUAUAAAGGAAGGAGCCACCACUGAGUGAAAGUACUCUGGGCGUUGCACUCAUCAGAUAGUGUGAAGCGGAACGAGCGCCUCGACUGACGCCCCCUCUCCUCUGGAAGCAGCGGGACCCUCCAGAUGAGGAGGCCGGCUGGGGAGAGAACGGCCCCUGUCGGACCCUCCUCCAGUUGGAAGAGGAGCGCCGAGCCCUCAGGGUCUGACGCUGCAAACUGGAAGACGAAGUUCUCCCCGGCAAAUGUCCGAAGGUCACUUUGAGGUCGGUGGAAGGCCGGUGGCUCGUUGACUGCCAGAGGAGGAAAAGAGUGGUUAAGCGACAGGCCUAGGCAUGCUGGGAAACUUAAACCUCCGCUGCUUUGAUCUGCUAAUGGAGACAAACAGGACCGCGGUUGGACGGCUGCCAAGGUGACAGGCUGCCACGGCUGCUACGGCAGUAACACAACCAGGUGAAUUUGGAGGUGUCUGGGUCACACAGGAGGCAAGGGCUGCUGGGAUUGGAGUUUCCCUCUGCAAAACACAUCCCAUCGAUGUUACACGUUCGCUCCUGGCCAACAGAAACAGAGCGAAACAGAAACAAGGUCUGACCUGGGUCGUGGACGCUCAGAGCCAGAGGGACUCCACAUUGGUGGCCUUGGUUGGUGUUGUAGCAGGGGAUGGGCACUGUGCUGUGGACGGUCACCUUGUGCUCCUUUCCGUUCUCUGCUAUGUGGAGCGACUCGGGAGAAAACUGAAGUGCAAGAAGAGGGAAAACAAGCUUCUGGUCCAUGUAACCUCUGCAGCUGCUGAGUGAUGGGAAUGCAGCAGCUCAGGCCAACUCUGCACAAUCUGCUGCUUCUAUCAGGCA